rnacentral:sRNA from 1 species
UGCACAUUGAGGUACACUAGUCGGAGAA